CCAAUAGCGUAUAUUAAAGUUGUUGUGGUUAAAAAGCUCGUAGUUGAACCUUGGGCUUGACUGGCCGGUCCGCCUCACCGCGUGUACUGGUCCGGCCGGGCCUUUCCCUCUGUGGAACCCCAUGCCCUUCACUGGGCGUGACGGGGAAACAGGACUUUUACUGUGAAAAAAUUAGAGUGCUCCAGGCAGGCCUAUGCUCGAAUACAUUAGCAUGGAAUAAUGAAAUAGGACGUGCGGUUCUAUUUUGUUGGUUUCUAGGACCGCCGUAAUGAUUAAUAGGGACAGUGGGGGGCAUCAGUAUUCAAUUGUCAGAGGUGAAAUUCUUGGAUUUAUUGAAGACUAACUACUGCGAAAGCAUUUGCCAAGGAUGUUUUCAUUAAUCAGGAACGAAAGUUAGGGGAUCAAAGACGAUCAGAUACCGUCGUAGUCUUAACCAUAAACUAUGCCGACUAGGGAUCGGACGAUGUAAAUAAUUGACUCGUUCGGCACCUUACG
rnacentral:rRNA from 1 species